AUUGAACGCUGGCGGAAUGCUUUACACAUGCAAGUCGAGCGGCAGCGCGGGGCAACCUGGCGGCGAGCGGCGAACGGGUGAGUAAUGCAUCGGAACGUACCCAGUCGUGGGGGAUAACUGUCCGAAAGGACAGCUAAUACCGCAUACGUCCUGAGGGAGAAAGCGGGGGAUCGCAAGACCUCGCGCGAUUGGAGCGGCCGAUGCCGGAUUAGCUAGUUGGUAGGGUAAAGGCCUACCAAGGCGACGAUCCGUAGCUGGUCUGAGAGGACGACCAGCCACACUGGAACUGAGACACGGUCCAGACUCCUACGGGAGGCAGCAGUGGGGAAUUUUGGACAAUGGGGGCAACCCUGAUCCAGCCAUUCCGCGUGAGUGAAGAA
rnacentral:rRNA from 1 species